AAUUCUCAGGCGCUUGAGAGAACUCGGGUGAAGGAACUAGGCAACAUGGCACCGUAACUUCGGGAGAAGGUGCACCCUUUUUGGUGGCGCGUGCGCGUUAUAGCUGAAGAGGGUCGCAGAAACCAGGCCGCUGCGACUGUUUAUCAAAAACACAGCACUCUGCAAACACGAAAGUGGACGUAUAGGGUGUGACGCCUGCCCGGUGCUGGAAGGUUAAUUGAUGGGGUUAGCUGUAAAAGGCGAAGCUCUUGAUCGAAGCCCCAGUAAACGGCGGCCGUAACUAUAACGGUCCUAAGGUAGCGAAAUUCCUUGUCGGGUAAGUUCCGACCUGCACGAAUGGCGUAACGACAGCGGCGCUGUCUCCACCCGAGACUCAGUGAAAUUGAAAUCGCUGUGAAGAUGCAGCGUUCCCGUGGCAAGACGGAAAGACCCCGUGAACCUUUACUAUAGCUUUACACUGAACGUUGAGUUCGUCUGUGUAGGAUAGGUGGGAGGCUAUGAAACCACGACGCUAGUUGUGUUGGAGCCAUCCUUGAAAUACCACCCUGUCGUGCUUGACGUUCUAACCUAGUUCCGUUAUCCGGAUCAGGGACAGUGUAUGGUGGGUAGUUUGACUGGGGCGGUCUCCUCCCAAAGAGUAACGGAGGAGCACGAAGGUACGCUCAGCGCGGUCGGACAUCGCGCACUGUGUGCAAAGGCAUAAGCGUGCUUGACUGCGAGAUCGACGGAUCAAGCAGGUACGAAAGUAGGUCUUAGUGAUCCGGUGGUUCUGUAUGGAAGGGCCAUCGCUCAACGGAUAAAAGGUACUCCGGGGAUAACAGGCUGAUACCGCCCAAGAGUUCAUAUCGACGGCGGUGUUUGGCACCUCGAUGUCGGCUCAUCACAUCCUGGGGCUGUAGUCGGUCCCAAGGGUAUGGCUGUUCGCCAUUUAAAGUGGUACGCGAGCUGGGUUCAGAACGUCGUGAGACAGUUCGGUCCCUAUCUGCCAUGGGCGUUGGAGAUUUGAGAGGGGCUGCUCCUAGUACGAGAGGACCGGAGUGGACGAACCUCUGGUGUUCCGGUUGUCACGCCAGUGGCAUUGCCGGGUAGCUAUGUUCGGAAGCGAUAACCGCUGAAAGCAUCUAAGCGGGAAGCGCGCCUCAAGAUGAGAUCUCCCGGGAUGUAAAUCCCCUAAAGGAACCAUGUAGACUACGUGGUGGAUAGGUCAGGUGUGUAAGUGCAGCAAUGCAUUGAGCUAACUGAUACUAAUGAUCCGUGUGGCUUGACCAUAUAACCUUA
rnacentral:rRNA from 1 species